ACUGCAGCGCCAGAAUGACCUUUAUUGGAGUAUUUUGACCACCAGUCGCUUUGGCGGCUUCUCCUGCCGCUUUCUGUGUGUCCCUGUCAUCAACGCUGGACAGGGUUUUUACUAUUAUUUUUUUUCUUAUCAGGUGGAAACGGGCGGCUGGUCAAAAUGGGAGCAAAUGGCAGCACCGGUAGGAAAGUGUCAUUCGGACUGGACGAAGACGAGAAGGUCACAGUAAUUGAAGGCGUGAAGCUCUCAGAGGAUGUGCUCCGGCGGAUGAGAGAAUCUCAGGGGUCUGACAGCGCCAAGCCACCACCAUCUCCAUGGGACAGUCACAAACCACCACCGAGUCCAAAACCAACAGGACCUUCUGCUACAGAAAUACAAGAAGAACUGCGCAAAGACUUUGAGCAUCAGCAGGCCCUGGUCCAGGAACAGUUGGCCAGACUGGCCCAGAGAGAGAGAGACAUGACAGGCCUGGAUGAUCUGACACCUGCCCUCAUCAUUGAGAAAGGGAAGGCCCGUGAGGAGCAUGAAAGAGCUAAGAUGCUGCCCGCAGAUUUGGAUGCUUGGGCCAAACAACUGGAGAGCAAAGAGAAGGAACUGACCAGCAUAUCCAGCUUCUAUAAAGAACAAAUAGAGAUACUGGAGAAAAAGAACUUUGAGAACUACAACAAGAUGGCUGAACAGUACAACGAGGCAGCUACCAAAGCCGAGGCUCACAUCCGGCCCCGGCAGGCUGCGGCCGUGUGCACUGAACUGCAGGCCAAGGUGCUCCAGUGCUACAGAGAAAAUCCACAACAGACCCUGCACUGUUCCAGCCUGGCCAAACAGUACAUGACCUGCGUCCAGCAAGCUAAGAAGAAGACAGAAGAAUAGCAGUUAAUUAGUCAGACCUGGAAGGAGCCUGACAGUGACACUGACAGUGGAACAAAAAGAGCUCGCUGACGAAUCACGGCUGAGGAACCCAAAGGAAGCAGUGGAAGAAGCGAAGACGGGGAGAGCAUGUCAGAUCCGUCCGUCCGUUUCUCGCCUCCCUCCGUCAUCAUCCUAUCCAUCCGUCCGUUUAUUUAGCCACCAUCACUGAAGAGCCCCCUCCUCCUUUUCCCACUCACCAUCCUUCUUGGUUUUUGAGUGUAUUAUCUUGACUUGUCACUCCAGAGUGUAUGAUGUGUUGAUUUGUUGUCAAGUUGCGCCAGCACACCCCUGCCGCCGCUGAAAUAAAUCCCAGUGAUCCGUUGGUGAUGAGACUGCA